AAACUGACACAGGUGCCCCUCGCUGAGAAGGCGAAGGCGUGUCGGGAGUAAAUGUGUUAAGGGAACUCGGCAAAUUAGCCCUGUAACUUUGGGAUAAGGGGUGCCUGCCCAGCGAUUGGGCAGGUCGCAGUGACAAGAUCGCUCCGACUGUCUAAUAACAACAUAGCAGACUGCAACUCCGAAAGGACUCGUAUAGUCUGUGAUUCCUGCCCAGUGCGAGUAUCUGAACACCGGGUUCAACCGGACGAAGGACUCGUAAACGGCGGGGGUAACGAUGACCCUCUUAAGGUAGCGUAGUACCUUGUCGCUUAAUUGGCGACUUGCAUGAAUGGAAUAACGAGAGCGAUACUGUCCCUAACACAUACCCGUUGAACCUUUUGUACUAGUGCAGAGACUAGUGACUCCUUAUGGGAAGUGAAGACCCCGUGGAGCUUUACUGCAGCCUGUCGUUGGGUUACGGUAUUACCUGCGCAGGGUAGAUGGGAGACGUCGAUCCAACCCUUGUGGGGGUUGGUUAGUCACCGAUGAGACACCAUCCUGGUUUUAUUGUAAUUCUAACUGAUUUAUCAGGACAUCGAUAGGUAGGCAGUUUGGGUGGGGCGCCACACCCUCGAAAAAAUAUCAAGGGUGCCCUAAGGUCAACUCAAGCGGGUCAGAAACCCGCCGAAGAGUGUCAAGAGCAAAAGUUGGCCUGACGCGAUUUCGCAUAGCAAGAAAUCGCGAGAGGAAACUCGGGUCUAACGAACCAAUACGCCCUGUUGAUGAGGGCUAUUGACUACAGAAAAGCUACCCCGGGGAUAACAGAGUCGUCGCCGGCAAGAGCACAUAUCGACCCGGCGGCUUGCUACCUCGAUGUCGGUUCUUUCCAUCCUGGCUGUGCAGCAGCAGCCAAGGGUGAGGUUGUUCGCCUAUUAAAGGGGAUCGUGAGCUGGGUUUAGACCGUCGUGAGACAGGUCGGUUACUAUCUAUAAGGAGUGUUGGAAGUCUGAAGGCAAGAAUGAAAUAGUACGAGAGGAACUUUCAUUCGGCGCCACUGGUCUACCGGUUGUCUGACAAGGCAACGCCGGGCAGCUACGCGCCAAGAGAUAAAAGCUGAAAGCAUCUAAGCUUGAAACUCAGCCUGAACAAGAGACUUCAUCAAAGACACGGGUAAAAGACCCGGUUGAUAGGUUCGGGAUGUACGCACGAAGGCAACGACGUGUUCAGUCCGCGAAUACUAAUCGUCCC
rnacentral:rRNA from 1 species